rnacentral:rRNA from 1 species
GAUUCUGGCUCAGGAUGAACGCUGGCGGCGUGCUUAACACAUGCAAGUCGAACGAAGCAACUAUCUUGCUUGCAAGAGAGUUGACUUAGUGGCGGACGGGUGAGUAACGCGUGGGUAACCUGCCUCAUACAGGGGGAUAACAGUUGGAAACGACUGCUAAGACCGCAUAACCCGCUAGUGUCGCAUGACACGGACGGAAAAUAUUUAUAGGUAUGAGAUGGGCCCGCGUCUGAUUAGCUAGUUGGUAAGGUAACGGCUUACCAAGGCGACGAUCAGUAGCCGACUUGAGAGAGUGAUCGGCCACAUUGGGACUGAGACACGGCCCAAACUCCUACGGGAGGCAGCAGUGGGGAAUAUUGGACAAUGGGGGAAACCCUGAUCCAGCGAACCGCCGCGUGAGUGAAGAAGUAUUUCGGUAUGUAAAGCUCUAUCAGCAGGGAAGAUAAUGACAGUACCUGACUAAGAAGCCCCGGCUAACUACGUGCCAGCAGCCGC